AGCGAACGCUGGCGGCAUGCUUAACACAUGCAAGUCGCACGGUUCGGGGGCAACCUCGGGCAGUGGCGGACGGGUGAGUAACGCGUAGGAAUCUAUCCUUGGAUGGGGGACAACCGUGGGAAACUACGGCUAAUACCGCAUGAUGCCUGAGGGCCAAAGUCAUUGGGGCAACUUGAUGGCGUCUGGGGAGGAGCCUGCGUCUGAUUAGGUAGUUGGUGGGGUAAAGGCCUACCAAGCCUACGAUCAGUAGCUGGUCUGAGAGGAUGAUCAGCCACAUUGGGACUGAGACACGGCCCAAACUCCUACGGGAGGCAGCAGUGGGGAAUAUUGGACAAUGGGCGCAAGCCUGAUCCAGCAAUGCCGCGUGAGUGAAGAAGGUUUUUCGGAUUGUAAAGCUCUUUUUGGCGGGGACGAUGAUGACGGUACCCGC
rnacentral:rRNA from 1 species